rnacentral:rRNA from 1 species
UACGCAAACAUAUAAAAUUCUCUAAACAAAACAUUUGACCAACCCAGUAGAUGUGAUCGAACAGUAAACCUAACCACACUAGUACCGCAAGGGAAAAACAUAAGCAACAAACAGCAAAGAUAAAACCUUGUACCUUUCGCAUCAUGGUCUAGCAAGAAACCAAAGACAAGAAGAAUCACAGCCUUCACCCCGAAACCAGAUGAGCUACCUUAAAGCAGCCUAACGGGCACACCCUUCUCUGUAGCAAAAGAGUGGGAAGACUUAAAGGUAGAAGUGAAACGCUUACCGAAUCUGGAGAUAGCUGGCUACCCAAAACAGAAUCUUAGUUCCACCUUAAACCCAAAUAAUAACCACUUAUUUAUCCCUUAAGGGUAAUCAAUAGGGGUACAGCCCUAUUGAAACAGGAUACAACCUGAAUUUGAGAGAAACAAUCACACUUUCACCAAGUAGGCCUUAAAGCAGCCACCUUACACAAUAUCGUUAAAGAAUUCAACCAAAAACCCAAAAACUAACUAAAAACUCCAAACAAACUAAAGGUAAACCCAUAACUAUGGAUAUUAUCAUGCUAGAACUAAUAAUAAGACAACCUCUCUAAAUGCACCCACCCACUAGACCGGAUAAACCACUAGCUAUUAACAGACCACAAUAGGCAAAAACAAAUCAAUAUUCACCUUAAAACAAACUGUGACCCCAACACAGGCGCAUUAAAAAGAAAGAUCCACUAUUAUAAAAGGAACUCGGCAAACAAAGACCCCAACUGUUUAACAAAAACAUAACCUUUAGCCAAACAAAUAUUAAAGGCAACGCCUGCCCAGUGAACAUUAAACGGCCGCGGUACCCUAACCGUGCAAAGGUAGCGUAAUCAUUUGUCUACUAAUUAUAGACCUGUAUGAAAGGCAAAAUGAGGGCCUAACUGUCUCUUAUAAUAAAUCAAUUAAACUGAUCUCCUAGUAAAAAAGCUAGAAUCCCCACAUAAGACCAGAAGACCCUGUGAAGCUUAAACUAAACUAUUAAACCACAUAAUAGAUACUUUCGGUUGGGGCGACCUUGGAAAAAAAGAGAACUUCCAAACACUAUGACUCAUACCUCAAACCACAUUUAGGCCCACAAGCCAACAAACGACCCAGCAAAGCUGAUAAUUGAACCAAGUUACUCCAGGGAUAACAGCGCAAUCUUCUUCAAGAGCCCAUAUCAAAAAGAAGGUUUACGACCUCGAUGUUGGAUCAGGACAUCCUAAUGGUGCAGCCGCUAUUAAGGGUUCGUUCGUUCAACGAUUAACAGUCCUACGUGAUCU